UUUCCGUCCUCACUUGUGCAUGUAUUAUUCAUUGAGAGUUGCACUGCAAGUCUGUGUUUUAACUUGUGUGGGAUUUUAGGCUGGCUCAGGUGAAUGUAGCUGUGGUGGAAAAGUUGUAAAGGGUAUGUCUGUCAAGCCAACUAAAGGAGAUGCUGUACUUUUCUGGAGCAUGGGUCUGGAUGGCCAAUCAGAUCCAAAUAGCAUACAUGCAGGGUGCGAGGUGCUAGCUGGGGAAAAGUGGUCAGCCACAAAAUGGAUGAGGCAAAUAUCUACCUCUUGAUUUUUCUAGCUUGCCCCUCUUAAAUUAUAUGAAUUUUGGGGCUUUUACCUGGUUCAUGAGAUAGAUAGAUACGUACAGUCAGAUAUCUCUAAGCCAUGAUGGACAUCAAGUUUGGCAUUCCAAAUAUGAUGAGCAUCAAGAGUAGUGUCAUACCGCCUCAGUUUAGGUACUAGUGGGAUUAAACAGAACAACAUACUCAAUAAUCAUGUUAGAAAGUGAAGAGUGCAUACGAUCGCGGAGAAUAGUAUGGGAUAAGGUGCAUCUUGUAAUGAAAUUCCAUUGCCGAGAAAGGCAAAAUGCAAAUGCUUUCUUGAUGGCAAAAUUUAGGCUUCUUAUGAAACCUUUUCUUGGUGGAACACUUGCCCUUGUUGAUUUUCCUUCCAAAGACAACGUUGCAAGCUUAAAGCCAUAAUAACA